UGCAUGUGUAAGCGAAGCGUAACGUGGAGCGGUGAAAGGCUCAGUAACGGGCGACUUAUUUGAUCUCUUGGGACGGACAACACCGGGAAACUGGUGGGAAAACGUCUAAGUUGCAAUUGAGUAAAGGUUGUGACGGAAACUGUAUAGUGCAAGAGAGUAAGAUGCCAUCCUAUCAGUUAGUAAGUAGGGUAAGGGCCUACUUAGACGAAGACGGGUACGGGGAAUGAGGGUUUGAUUCCGGAGAGGGAGCCUGAGAGAUGGCUACCAGGACCAAGGUCAGCAGCAGGCGCGAAAAUUAUCGAAGCCCGCAUUGGGGCGAUAGUGAGGAGACGUGAAUUUUAGGUGCGGGUAAAAAACGCACUAGUAACUGGAGGUCAAGUCUGGUGCCAGCAUCCGCGGUAAUUCCAGCUCCAGGGGUGUCUAUGAUGAUUGCUGCGAUUAAAAAGUCCGUAGUCAAGCCGCCAGACCAGUCUGGAAUGUUUCUUGAUUAAGAGAUGAAUAGGGCUGGGAAAGCGGAGAAUUAGGAGCGACCGAGGGCUAGAGUAUUGGGUGGCGAGAGGUGAAAUUUGAUGACCCAUCCAGGAGUGACAAAGGCGAAGGCACUAGUCAAGGGCGAAUCCGAUGAUCAAGGACGUAGGCUAGAGUUUCGAAAACGAUUAGAGACCGGAGUAGUUCUAGCAGUAAACUAUGCCGACGCCGUGAUAUGAGGAUAUUGUAUUGCGGAAGAGAAAUCAAGUAAGGCUUUGGGGAGAGUACGCGCGCAAGCGAUAAAUUUAAAGGAAAUUGACGNAGGAACACCACAAG
rnacentral:rRNA from 1 species